UCCAAUUUAAAUUUCAAUCUAAUUGACCUUAUUAGGAUAUCCAAACAUCAUUAAUACUUUCAGGCCUUUAGCUUGAUUUUAAUUGUUGAAUUGAUUAACAGAUUGUAAAAAUUAGCCAACAACAACAACAAUUACAAUUGUAACAAUAUAAUAUUAUUGAUUAUUUUACCGUUGGUUGACAUUUUCAAACAUAAUCGUCAUUUGAUGCUUCCAAUGGUUCACAUUUACAUCGACUUUUACUCUUUAAUCUGAUCACUGUGUCCAAUUUUCUGGAUUCAUCGACAUUUUCACUUUCGUCAUUUUCUGAUCGCUGAUUUCGAGCUUCGUUCAAACCAAUCGAACCGCCGCCGCCUCGAGAUGAGUAAAAUAAAGCUCCAAACAUGGCGACAUAAAUCAUCAGGACGACCUAUGGAAAGAAAAAGUAAACAAAAAAAGCAAUCACCUUGAUUGUAAACAAUUAUCACAUGACAAUCAAAGUUAAUCCUGGUUAAAUUUGGGACGUUGACUUGUUAUAUAAAUCGUAAACUUGAUCAAAAUUAAUUGGUCAAUUAAUUAACUUAUUAAAUUGGUGAUUUGAUGUGAAAACGUGAAUCAAAUUUGAAACAAUCAAUUUGAUACCAAAGGAAAACCAGGAAAAUCAAAAAUUGAAAGUAAACAAUUGAAUUGGCAAAUGAUUGGAAAACCAGAAAUCAAUUUGAUUACGAGAUUGAAAGAAGACGAGUUGACAAAUUGAAUUUUAAAAUUAACGUUGAUUACCAGCAAUUUAAAUUGUACAUGAUCAGAAAACUUAUAAGUCUGUGGAAACCAAAAAAUGAUUUCCUUGAAAGUGUUUAAUUUGAAUUUAUUUAAAUGAAAGAAUCAAUUAAAUGUAGAAGAUGCACUCAGGUC